rnacentral:tRNA from 1 species
GGAGAGGUGGCAGAGUGGACGAUUGCACCGGUCUCGAAAACCGGCGUCCGUGCAAGCGGACCGAGGGUUCGAAUCCCUCCCUCUCCG